rnacentral:rRNA from 1 species
UACGUAGGGUGCAAGCGUUGUCCGGAAUUAUUGGGCGUAAAGAGCUCGUAGGCGGUCUGUCGCGUCGGAUGUGAAAAUCCAGGGCUCAACCCUGGACCUGCAUUCGAUACGGGCAGACUAGAGUUCGGCAGGGGAGACUGGAAUUCCUGGUGUAGCGGUGAAAUGCGUAGAUAUCUGGAGGAAUACCGGUGGCGAAGGCGGCAUCCUGGACCGGCAUUGACGCUGAGGAGCGAAAGCUAGGGGAGCAAACGGG